GAUGAACGCUAGCUACAGGCUUAACACAUGCAAGUCGAGGGGCAGCGGGAUUGAAGCUUGCUUCAAUUGCCGGCGACCGGCGCACGGGUGAGUAACGCGUAUCCAACCUUCCGUACACUCAGGGAUAGCCUUUCGAAAGAAAGAUUAAUACCUGAUGGUAUGAUGAGAUCGCAUGGUAUCAUCAUUAAAGAUUUAUCGGUGUACGAUGGGGAUGCGUUCCAUUAGGUAGUAGGCGGGGUAACGGCCCACCUAGCCUACGAUGGAUAGGGGUUCUGAGAGGAAGGUCCCCCACAUUGGAACUGAGACACGGUCCAAACUCCUACGGGAGGCAGCAGUGAGGAAUAUUGGUCAAUGGACGAGAGUCUGAACCAGCCAAGUAGCGUGAAGGAUGAAGGUCCUACGGAUUGUAAACUUCUUUUAUAAGGGAAUAAAACCUCCCACGUGUGGGAGCUUGUAUGUACCUUAUGAAUAAGCAUCGGCUAACUCGUGCAGCAGCCGACGG
rnacentral:rRNA from 1 species